UGGAUAGCAGCAGAAAGCAAAAGUUUUGAAAAAUGAUUUAAAAAUGAGGACGGAUUGUGCGAAGAGAAGAAAGCACACAAUUAGUGAAAGUUAUUGCUCAAGUAUCGGGGCAUCGUGGUCUACACUGAAUGUGAAGCUAUGCAACUAAAGUUUUGGACAGUAGUGUAGGACACUCUUCAAUAAUGAACCUUACAAAAACUUCCACAGGGUACUUCCACAUGUUAAACCUCGAUAUAACGAUCACAGAUAUAAGAAACCUUAAAAUGUUUCUCGGCAAUAUCAUCAUAUAACGAAUAUAGGCUUAUAACAAAUGUGGAUAUAAAGAAGGUAUUUUUGCAUCAGAUACGACAUUGUAAUGAUGAGGUUUGACCGUAUUAUCCCUAUAAGUGUGCCUUUGUUUAGUCAUCUAGGUUUUAGACGACACAAUAGCUUGUACAGCAGAAUGCAAAUCUCAAUCGUUUUCUCGCGGCAACGAAUCUACUAACAGAUAUCAACCAAAAACUGUGUCAUGCGCUCAUUUCUAUUAACUGUAACGUUAAAUGAAGCAGAAAAAUUUUGUUCUCUUUGUGAUAUGCAGGCUUUUAGCUAAUCGUCCAAAGACUGUGUUUAAUUACUUUGAGUGCAGAACCAAACAUUAUGGUUUGUGUCAUCACACGAAGAAGCCUCACUUGCUCCUUUGUUCAUGGACUUCCACUGAAAAACAUUCUUUUGCGCAGUAGUAUCCUUGACACUGCACCUAGUCUAAAGCAUCACAAUUAGUGCACUCAUUCUGACCAUUCGAUUUGGAACAUUUAGGUAUUUGAACCAGGCCCUAGAGGGGAGGGGGGGGGGGGGGUUUAUAUGGCACCUGCUCUUCUGGAAGACCAAGACUUGUAUUCUUAGUGCCUAAAUUUCAGGUAGCUGCUGUUCACAUUACUUCCUGUUUAGCAUUUUAGCAGGCUAUAAAGCAGGCUUUGAAGAGCUGAAAUGCUGAGUUUAUUAUUGUGUUUUUCUUCCUUACAGAACUGCAUGUAGAACAUGUGACUGAAUUUCACUGCAGAAUCUGCCAACAUGCAAAACAAAUAACUUUUAAUCAUUUUAUGGUUCCCAGGCUGUCGAACCUAUAUCGUGGGGUGGGUGCUUCACGGAAAAUGUAUGUGUUGCUUAGCACAGGAAUGUAUGCAGCAUGAUCUCUCUAUUUCUCUCUCUCUCUCUCUCUCUCUAAUUCCUGCAUUUGCAAUGUGAUGUUGACUGCCUCAUUUCCAAAGACCUGAAUGCCGAAUGCUUCACUUCGCGAUGAUGACUAAAAUGCACUUUUGGUGUAAUGUAUCUGCACUACUAAGGCAGCUGUAAAUGCAAAAUACAUUUCUGAAGUUGGUCAAGUCGUCAUAUUAGCUAUAUAGGCCUGCCGCUCGCUGCUUAAUUGCUGGAAUAAAAGGUGCAGUUGCAUGAUCUGACAGCAAGUGCCCAGACACACAUCUGACAUCUCCUUGUUGGCCAUGCUUGAUAUGCUCGUUUCUGUGCUAAGCAAUGGCAGUAUCAUGCAAUUGUGUCGCACAGCUUACAUGGAAUGUUUUAUGGUCAGCAAUAGUUGCUGGCACGUGAAAUGCAGCUUGCCUCUCUUGGUGGUACACUUUUCUCACUUGUCCUGACUGCCACACUCUUGUCUCUUAGAGUUCUCUCGAGAACAGGCAAACUUAUCUUGGGCAUGUUCACCUCAAGCACUGCAUUUGAUGUGCGUAGUCGUAAUAAAGGCAAACGUACAUUGAAUCAAUUCAUACCAUUAAAUUACCCUCCCAUCCUAGGGACUACAUGGCAUAUUUUCUGCAGAUAAAUGACUUGAGUUGCAGAGAAAGUUGCAGCUGAAGGAUUUCUUCUUCAGCAGUUUGAAUCAGAUGCGUCAAGUGAUGUGAUGUGAACAGGAAUCGAGUGCUGCACCAGCUGUCUAGGAGGUCUGGCACUUCCAAGCAGAGAGGGAGUGCCACAUUCCUAUAAACGGUGCCAACAGAACAAUGAAAAGAGGUAGCAUUAGCAAGUUCCUUUGUUUGGGAAGCCAGUAAAAUCAGCCAAACUGCUUUCUGUUUCAUGUUGAAAUGCGAUGCAAGUAUUUUUGUUGUCAGCAGUUGACUACUGUUUAGCAAUUAUGAACAGGGCCUUGGCACCAAAUUUUUAAUGAUGCACCAAUCCUGUCCUACAUUUACGUCUUUUUCUGGCUCACAAAAACUCGUUCUCAGUGUGAUGGAUAAUUUUGACAUUUUGGAUUAAUACUGCAUCACUUACAGCUUGACUUAUCGGUGCCUGCACGGGAGGGUAUAUAUAUAGAGCAGCCAGGAAUGCUAUAAACAAAGUGUGUACAGAGUGUUUGAAGUUCUGUGUGUCAAAGCAACACUGGUGGCACGAGUUGGAAAUUGAAGCAUUUGCACAGCUGAUGGUACCCCGUGCUCUGGACCCACAGACUACAACUCGUGGCAGUAAGUCACGCCUCAAAUAAAAUGCACCAUGGCGAGCAUCAAUGGAUCUUUGGAUGCAACUUGCCACUGUUUUGUCUAGUGCAAAGUGCAAGCUCCUCAUGUUUUGCACGCUGGCAUGCUUUCUGCAUAGUGCACCGACAGUUUUGUUUCUCUUAUUCUUCAUUGUUGAAAGGCUUGCACUUUCAUGCAUGCAUAUAUACACGUAACAUGGCUGGUAUGGCCUCAAAUGUACGUCACACACUGCCGCAACUGUAAAACCUGAUGGUUUGUAUGUACAUAAUUUGCAGCAUGUUUUGCUGGACAGUGUGAAAGUGGUGUACCAAUGAAUGACAUCAUAGUAUGAGCGUGUAUACAGUCAUGUGGUGCUUUCUCUUUGGUGUGGGAGAAUUGCACGUGUGCCCUUAGCAAUUUUUCUCCUUGCCAGAUAGGUGUGUAGAAAAGUUUCUUCGACUUGUGAACAUUGUGAGUGCUGAAACUAUUACUCUGUGAAACUGUAAAUUGAUAGGUGAAACGAUGGUGGGGAUUCCCAAAUUGGAUUUGGCAAAGUUUCCAUCAGCAGCGUGUGCACAUUUUAGACACUUGUGUCAGAAUGAAAAAGCACUUUCUUGAAAUUGCUUUUGAGUUUAGUAAUAAUAGCACUGUUUUGCUUUUAUACUGGGCACUUGAACUCUGCCCAUGCGAAGGAAAUUUAAUUUGAGGCUUUGGACUUGUACCUUUCACAACUUUGAUGUUGCACUUGCUCGUCAGUGUUACAUGUCUUGGAAUGUACAUUCGAGUUUGGGUGUAGUGUUUGGAUCAUGUUUUUUCUCGAUCAAGUUUUUACCGUGGAGGUCCCUUUUCUUCAUUUAAUUUUGCAGAAGGGUGUUUUGGAGUACAAGUGCAAUUUUGAUACAUUGUGGUCCCAUGCAUAUGUAGUAGCUGUUGUGCCUAGUUUGAGGGUUUUCGAGGGUUUGCUGUGUGUGAAUGUCAUGCAUGAAACUGGCAAUGUCAACUCCUUGAUAUUAUUCAUAGUUUAUGCUGAAUGUUUGUUGUGUGCUGUACAAAUGUCAUUCAGCAAUGUUGUUUCACAUAAGCCGCCAACAAGAGAGUGCCUGCUCAAAAAACAGCAUAUAGGGUGCAAAUUUAGACGUCAGGAAUGUGCACUUAAUGUACUGCAUAUUUGCAGACGAGUGAAGUCGCUUGUAUAUUGUGUGGUUUCCUGUGUGGGAAAAUGUAGUAGUGACGUUAACCCUUGAGGUGCCCUUCUCACUUUGGCUACAAUACCGAUGGUAAGACGAGUGGUCUAUUGAAUGGAACAGUCUAUGUUAAAGGGACACUAAAAAUAAUGAUUAUUUGAGCUGUGUUACUUAACUACCCUUCCGUAUUGCCAAAAGAAGCCACUCUUACUGUGAACAAAGACUUGGUAAGCCAGAAAAGCUGCAAAAACGAAAGACAAGUGACAAAGCCAUUUUGAAGUACCCACACUAGCUCGUCGUGACAUCAUGGAUGCUGUCGGCGUAUGCUCGAGCCUAUAGUAAUAUUUUUAUCGGUAUAGAUGGACAACAUUUCAUUCUAAAAGAGCCAAAGACUUAUGUUAAAACAUUUUAAAAACUUAUACUGCAUAAUAAUGGCCCAAGUUAGAGAAAUCACUUUAAUAUCCAUGAUGUCACACUACUGAAAUAUCCAUGUGAAGUUAUGAAAGUGUGGGCCUUUUCUCUUCUUGUACGCAACAUAUCUUACUGUGAGAUCAAUGAGUUUUGAAGGAAUACCUUAUCUGGCUAAACAGAUUUCGUGCUUCUCUUUAGUAUUCCUUUAACUCUUGAGGUGUCCUUCUCAUGUAGGCCAUGGCACCGGUGAUAAAGUGAAUAGUCUGUGAGUACAGUAAGCUCCUUUUAAAUCUUAUUCUGUUAAUACAAGCAUUCUGGAUAAUGUGAGCAGAAAUGACGGCCUUUGUUUAAUUCUCACAAAUUCUGAGCACUGCUGUGAAGUUCAACUUCUGAUAAGAGACAGAUUUCCAGAUAAUUACCAAGGAGCCAAUCAUCCUCUCUUAACCGAUUUUUGUUUUAGGGUGUAGUAGCUUGGUACACAAGCUUUUCUUUCCCUACAGAUAAGGGCUUUGCCAUAAAUAGCAAAUAACUUUUGUAAUAUCAGGCCUUUUGAAUAGGUGCUCUGUGCAAACAGCAUUUUAAAAACUCUGAAUGGGUCUGUUCAAGUGUCAGUGCUUACAAAAAAAAAAAAAAAUUGUCCAGACAUGCUUGAUUAGCCUGAUAAACCUAAAGAAGCCAGGGCCAGUAUAAAGCAAGAAUUUUUUUUUUUUUUGCACAAUCCUAUCCUUAUUUAAUGCUCCAAAAGAACUGACUUUGGUAAUAAUUGAGACGGGCCAGUGGUUAGAUGUGAAAUGGAAAUACAAUUGCAAUAAAAUUGUUACAUUAUUCACGCCUAGGUAAGAUGAUAGAAUUAAAAAAUUAACUGAGGUAAUAUUGCUUUUUAGCAGAAAAUAAGAUGAAAAAUAACCUUAAACAUACAGAUUUGUAGUGCUUGCUUUAGAGAGUUAAAAAGAUGAUGCAGUAAAUGCAGGAAUUGAUUUGACAGCCUUUUUUUAUAUGUACUCGGGUAUAUAAAGGAAGCCCAAGAAAACCAGUGCAUAAACGUCUCAGCCAUUCUGCACCAUCCGGCAGGUUUUGGUUUAGAAACAUUUGUAAAAGUGAUUAUCUCUCGUUUAUUUCACUUCUCAGUGUUUCAGCUCAGAGCAAAUGUGUGUGUUUGCAUGUCAACACAAAUGGGCUCCAAUAUGAGUUCUGCACAAAAAGUAUAAUUUCUUACAAAAAAGUUUCUGCUUGCAUGUUAGGUACUGAGAUGACUUGAUGUUCCUGACUUGUAAAUAUCACUGAAAUUUACCUUUAGAACACGAUUCAUAUCUGGAGCCCUUGUGUAUUUUUCUAAAUCUGCCUCAGCUGCUGGACACUAAAAUACAUAUUUAAACUCAAAAACAUUGUCCAGUAUGGAAUCAGAGUGAGCUGUAGAAGUUCUCAAUCAAUUAUUUAUUACUUUUUUUAAACAAUGAGAAAAGACACAUUAAUUAACACUUUGUUUUUCGUGCAUUUUCUAAAAGCUUCCUGUAGUGUCAUUGUACUAUUGUUGUAUGGGCAAAAAUACACUACACAAAAUCACACAUGGCUAGAAAAGCAAAGGCCCGGAAAACAGUGAAACAAGGUUGAUAGGAAAAGGGGAUCAAAUGCUGGUCUAAGGACUGUACUACCAUAAAUAUUUCUUAGAAAGACAUUAUAUUUUGGUCAUUAACAACAAAUGGUGGAAGCAUAUUCCACUUGCUGAUGGCAUGAAGGAAAAAUUAUCUUUUGAAAACAUUGGUGUAACAGAGGACUUUCUUAAUUUUAAAUCGAUUAGUAACAUAACACUAAUAUAACACUAAGUUAGGCGGAAGCAUAUACAAUUGCUUGUUUAUGCUACACACAUUAAAGUAUAUGAGGGAAGGCAUAUCACACCAUUGAUAUCAAAUAUGUACUAGGUAGCUGGCAUAAAAAAAAUUAGGGUGCUAUGUCAAGGUCACAAUAGGCUAUAGCUUUAUCAAAAUGUGGUUAUCUUGAGAACGCCAGCUGAGGAAAUUUAUCAGCUUUUUCUUUUGGGCAACCUUCUCAGUUCACUGGAUGCUAUGUGGAUAACCUAAAAAAUUAUAUAAGAGUCAAAAAUCUAUUUACAGUAAGGUGUAUUGACAACAGCUAAAAUCAGCUCUAUGGGGCCACACAACACAGCUUGCUAUCUUAUCUGAAUUACUUUUCUGCUGCCCUUGCUUCAAUUGUAUUUGUACAAGAAACUGCACACGUAAUAAUGCAGGUUGUUUGUUUGAACAGAAGUUCUUAGCUUCAAAAAGCUGCAUGUCGCAGUGCGUAGUCUCUAGCUUGGCUCUUUGGUAACUGCUGGCAAAUUCUGCUGGUUAUUUUGGAGAAGCUACCUGAAUCCUCGACCGAGCACUCAUGUCAAACACUUAUUUUUCAUUCCAAAUCUGCUAGAGAAAAACAACGCUCCGAGCAUGAUCUCGGUGUAAAGUUGUCGCAUUUGUAUCUGGUAGAAGCAAUCCGACAGUGAAGCAUGGGAGACCAAACUGCCAUUGAGCUUGUUGAUUCUGGAGCCAACCAGUGCAAAACAAAAUUCUCUGCUUGACUAAAACCUGUUCUGGAUUGAUUUGUUUUUCGCCUCAAGUGUUUUGACAGAAUUGUCAUGGGUUUGCAAGUAUCACUUGCAAUGUAGGUUGAAGCAUUUUCCAGUUUGCAUGCCAUGGACAUAACUUGCUUGUCGUUCACUACUGUGGGCCACGUUUAGAAGAACCUGCCUUUCACUAAAAAUGCUUGAAGGUCUGUUGAGCUUAAGCAAGCCUGGCAUUAUUAGCACCUUUUGUUUUGUCAUCUAAAUUAACAUUUUCUCUGGAAAGGCUACCCUUUAUAAAGAAAGGUCUUUUACGUUCAUACUGGAGCUUUCAAACUUCAUAGACAUACCAGCAAUUAUUGUGCACAUACAUUAGAAGAGCCACCAAGUUUUGUUAUGCAGAGCGAUGGUCAUAGCUUGGCUGUUGAACAGGAAGCCGAAAACAAGAUUUGGGUGACCGAUAUAAAUGAGGUUCUUGCAUGCACACGACGCCUAUCACUUGUACAUAGUUGUUAUGUGCCGUGCACAUGUGUUGAAAACACUUAAGUGUUUAAAGGUAUAGCAAGGAGCGUCUGCUGUAUGCGUACAUUUCACUGUGAUUUUUCAGUGAUCAAACUGCCCAAAUGCAACCAUCAAGAAUGCCGUGUAGGUGUGUGGAGUAGUAGUCAAGGUGUGUAAAUGAAAAAAAAAUAAAAAUAGUUGAUCUCUUGCCUUGACACAGCUUAUAGUGCUGACAUUGUGAAAUGGAAUAUAUCUAUACUGGUAUACUGCAUGUUCCUUUGUUGGUGUAUGUUGCAGAAGCUUUUUUUUAUGUUUUCGCACAUAUAAAACCAAUUUAAGCUUCCCUUUUUGUUUCUUAUAGCAGUGAAAAUAUUGCAGUUCUAGCCUGAAAUAUAUGCAUGUUACUUUUAUCAUAUUCUAGGAAUACUGACAUGUAGCCAAGAACAGCAGCAUCAGUGGCAUCUACUUCAUGAUAUUGUCUUUAACUAGUAUUCAUUAAAGCUUAAACAUAUGGUCUAGUUAACCAGUAUGUUUUACAAAGUGUUCAUGCUGAACAGUUAUUCUUGGUAAGAAAACGGAAAAUACAGCUUUGGUAAGGCUACAUUGCCGGUGAUAGCUUUAAGCCAACAUCUAAUCGGAACAAAAGUUGCACACUACAGACAAUGGUUCAGCUGAGUCUCACAAGAUGUCACCAGCAGCACACCUGCUCACAGCUACAUCCUCACGUUCCAGUAACAUGGUAAUUGCGACACAUACAUUCAAGCUGAAGCUCUUUAAUAUGAAUGCACAUGUGCUUCUCAGGAGUACCAGUGAUGCUGAAAACGUUUGUGCUGGCUGUUUGGCAUUGUGUAUAAUUGAAUAUCUUGCUGCGAUAACGUGCUAGUUUAAAAAAUGUGCAGACAAGCUGCAAUGAUGCAAAUAAAUCUUGUUUGCAACAA
rnacentral:lncRNA from 1 species